rnacentral:lncRNA from 1 species
GGAGUAAUAUCAAAGAGCCAUACAAAAUUGAGUUAUAAAAUUCUCUAAAAUAACAUAACAAAUAUGCAACUUUUAUAUGUGAAUACUAUUAUACUAGGUAUAUAAUAUGAUAAUGUGAGUAUAUUUUAUAGAAAAGUUAUUAAGUUCAACGUGGGUGUUAAAAUUUUACACGGAAGAACUCACUUGCUAUUUUUUAACGGGGUUGUUUGAUAAACUUAAAAAAAAUUGCUUAUUGCUUAAAAUUUAUAUGUGAUUGUAUAUAUCAAAAUGAAAACACGAUCAUCUAAUUUGGGAUGGAGGGAGAUUAAUAUCUCAUACAUGUCCCCUCUCUCUCGACUCAAACUCUAAUUUUUCGAGUCCUAAUUCCAGUCUAACGAUUCAUAUACAUCACUUCGUAUAUCUUUUGCUGUUUUAUCCUAUCUAACUAAAACAAAAAGGUCUCACUUCGGUUCUUCAAUUCUAAAUCGAAUUCUUAUGUUUCCACACUCCUGUUGAUGUUAAAACACAUUGUUAUAACAUCUCCUUCAAAUCUUCUCUCCUACUCGAUGAUCUUUCAUCGAAUCGAUUAUUUCUCUGCUCGACGGUGGCGAUUGUGUAUCUCCGAUGAUGAUUUCAGUCAAGUCUCAACGGUUCCUGCUCCUCCAAGUAAAGAAGAAGCUCAAGCAAACGGUGGCGGUUCCAAAAUCGGCAAACUCGACGGCGACUCACUGAGUCAACUCGGGCGAGUCGCUCACUUGCAGCAUAAAUUCUAACCCAAAGCUAGAUUAUUAGCCUUUUAAAGGGCUAAUACAGGUGAGUCCCUGCGUUGCUAGGCCAGGGCUUAGGUGAGGAGUUCUUACAACCCUAGUGGUUUGCUGAUUAGUUUUACUGUUCUAUUCGACUUACUGAUGGAAUUGUAAUAUCUCAUGAGAAUGUUUAGAAAUCUUAAUUGCUUAACACUGCCAUAUCGUGUGUGUGUUCAUUUGAUGUAUUUGGCGUUAAUUGUGUCUCUUAAUUGAGGGUGUUACUGUGACUCAUGAUUGAAGGCGUAAAUUGGGCCUCCUAUUGAGGCGUUAAUUGUGCCUUAUUUGAUGGCGUUAAUAGUGUCUUUUUUGAGAGUGUUAAUAUUUUAUUAAUUGUGCCUUAAUUAAGAGUUUUAUUGUCUCAAUCAUGAGUUAUCAUAACUGUGCGAAUAUUUUAUACACGUGAAAUUAUAAAUUAUUAAUUAGUGGAUAUAUUUUUUUAUUUUAUAAUAUAUAUAAAUCUAUUAUAUAUAUCGACUUAUAUUCUUCUUGGUUCCUUUGUUUUAUUUUCAGGAUUCUUAGAAGAAGACAGGUUUUUCUUUUCAGAUAUUAAAGUUUUAUUGUCUAAAUUUCUCCGGUUAUCUUGCAUGUCCAACGGUUAGAUAAUAAACUUUCUUGAAUGAAAGAAUUAUCACUGUGAAUUACCGAUUCAUAUUUGUGAAAUUU